GAGGUGGCAAGCGUUGUUCGGAAUUACUGGGCGUAAAGGGCGCGUAGGCGGCCUUCUAAGUCAGACGUGAAAUCCCCAGGCUUAACUUGGGAACUGCGUCUGAUACUGGAGGGCUCGAGUGCGGGAGAGGGAUGUGGAAUUCCAGGUGUAGCGGUGAAAUGCGUAGAUAUCUGGAGGAACACCGGUGGCGAAGGCGGCAUCCUGGACCGACACUGACGCUGAGGCGCGAAAGCUAGGGGAGCAGACGGGAUUAGAUACCCCGGUAGUCCUAGCCCUAAACGAUGAGUGCUUGGUGUGGCGGGUAUCGAUCCCUGCCGUGCCGAAGCUAACGCAUUAAGCACUCCGCCUGGGGAGUACGGUCGCAAGGCUG
rnacentral:rRNA from 1 species